rnacentral:rRNA from 1 species
AAACUGGAGAGUUUGAUCCUGGCUCAGAUUGAACGCUGGCGGCAGGCUUAACACAUGCAAGUCGAGCGG